rnacentral:rRNA from 1 species
AACGAACGCUGGCGGCAUGCCUAACACAUGCAAGUCGAACGAGACCUUCGGGUCUAGUGGCGCACGGGUGCGUAACGCGUGGGAACCUGCCCUUAGGUUCGGAAUAACUCCCCGAAAGGGGUGCUAAUACCGGAUAAUGUCUUCGGACCAAAGAUUUAUCGCCUUUGGAUGGGCCCGCGUUGGAUUAGCUAGUUGGUAGGGUAAAAGCCUACCAAGGCGACGAUCCAUAGCUGGUCUGAGAGGAUGAUCAGCCACACUGGGACUGAGACACGGCCCAGACUCCUACGGGAGGCAGCAGUGGGGAAUAUUGGACCAGGGGCGAAAGCCUGAUCCAGCAAUGCCGCGUGAGUGAUGAAGGCCUUAGGGUUGUAAAGCUCUUUUACCCGGGAUGAUAAUGACAGUACCGGGAGAAUAAGCGCCGGCUAACUCCGUG